GCAGUGAUGGUUCAGUGGUAGAAUCCUCGUCUUCCACGUGGGAGACCUGGGUUCGAUUCCCAGCCAAUGCG
rnacentral:tRNA from 1 species